rnacentral:rRNA from 1 species
GGCGAAAGGGUGAGUAGUACCUAGGUAACCUGCCCCAAAGACGGGAACAACACCUCUAACGGGGUGCUAAUACCCGAUAUGUCGGUGUGGCCGAGUGGUCGUGCCGGCAAAGGUAGCCUCUAUUUAUAAGCUUCCGCUUUGGGAGGGGCCUCGGGCCUAUCAGCUAGUUGGCGGGGUAAAAGCCCACCAAGGCAGGGACGGGUAGCCGGUCUGAGAGGAUGGUCGGCCACACUGGGACUGAGACACUGCCCAGACUCCUACGGGAGGCUGCAGUCGAGGAUCUUCUGCAAUGGGCGCAAGCCUGACAGAGCGACGCCGCG